rnacentral:rRNA from 1 species
UACGGAGGGUGCAAGCGUUGUCCGGAUUUAUUGGGUUUAAAGGGUGCGUAGGCGGCUCUUUAAGUCAGUGGUGAAAGCCGACAGCUUAACUGUCGAAAUGCCAUUGAUACUGGGGAGCUUGAGUACAGUAGAGGUAGGCGGAAUUAAUGGUGUAGCGGUGAAAUGCAUAGAUACCAUUAAGAACACCGAUUGCGAAGGCAGCUUACUAUAGUGUAACUGACGCUGAGGCACGAAAGCGUGGGGAGCAAACAGG